AUUGAACGCUGGCGGCAUGCUUACACAUGCAAGUCGAACGGUAACAGGUUAAGCUGACGAGUGGCGAACGGGUGAGUAAUGCAUCGGAACGUGCCCGGUCGUGGGGAUAACGCAGCGAAAGCUGCGCUAAUACCGCAUACGAUCUGAGGAUGAAAGCGGGGGACCGUAAGGCCUCGCGCGAAUCGGAGCGGCCGAUGUCAGAUUAGGUAGUUGGUGGGGGUAAAAGGCUCACCAAGCCGACGAUCUGUAGCUGGUCUGAGAGGACGACCAGCCACACUGGGACUGAGACACGGCCCAGACUCCUACGGGAGGCAGCAG
rnacentral:rRNA from 1 species